UGUGAACACGUGAUGAUGAACAUAUUUUGAUUUUUGAACAAUGCUCAACAGCCUCAAGUACAGGGAAAACUACUCCUGCAAGAGAAACUGCAUCUAUACGAAAGUUUUGUAAUCAAGCUGCUGGUAACAGUGAUGAUUUGGAGAAUUCUUUCAGCUAUAGACUGAUAGAAUUGUCAAGUUUGAUGAGUGUAUUCCAGCCCUUACACUAAUUAUGCCAGGCUGGGGGAAGAGUUGACCUUGAGAGAUGAGGUGGCUCGGACUUAUGGCAAUAGUUUGGUUAUUGAAAUAGAAUGAUUCAAGUGUGACAUUAAAGUAGAGCUCCACCAACUUCAGGGAACACCAGUGGGUCAAACUGCUAUGGACAUCAAUAAACGGAUGGUGUAUGCUGCAUCAGAAAUGGGUGUCGGCAGAGAAAGCAUGUCUGCGAUGCAUGACAUUUUGAACAUGGCUUCCCUGCGCAAUCGCAGUGCAUGGAAUAACCACACAUAAGAAGGUUGUAGCAGAAAAUUUAGAAAAAGCAAAAGAAAAAGUGAGUUCACUUCAUGAACCAAAUGAGUCGAACGUGGUACAGAUUGCAGUAAGUUAUGUCGGUACAUGGUCGAAACGAGGAUAUUGAUCUAUUUGAAAAGCGUCAAUGUCGGGAAAAGCAACAAGAAGAAAG